rnacentral:rRNA from 1 species
UGGGGAAUAUUGCAAAUGGACGGAAGUCUGAUGCAGCAACGCCGCGUGCGGGAUGACGGCCUUCGGGUUGUAAACCGCUUUUUCUCAUGACGAAGUUUUUUGACGGUAGUGGGGGAAGAAGCACCGGCUAACUACGUGCCAGCAGCCGCGGUGAUACGUAGGGUGCGAGCGUUGUCCGGAAUUAUUGGGCGUAAAGAGCUUGUAGGCGGUUUGUCGCGUCGAUAGUGCAAACUCAGUGCUUAACGCUGAGCCUGCUGUUGAUACGGGCAGACUAGAGGAAGGUAGGGGAGAAUGGAAUUCCCGGUGGAGCGGUGGAAUGCGCAGAUAUCGGGAGGAACACCGGUGGCGAAGGCGGUUCUCUGGGCCUUUCCUGACGCUGAGAAGCGAAAGCGUGGGGAGCGAACAGG